rnacentral:lncRNA from 1 species
AACAGUUCGCUUAAAAACGACGACAAAUUCGGGAAGCAGAAUAAAGGAAUACAUAACCGCAGUUUUUCUGUCAAACAAACCGAUCGUGUGUCCGAUUUGCACUUUGUUCGCAGUGAUCGUUUGGUAAAAGAUUUUCCAAAGAAAAUCAAGACAAAAUUACGUUUCGGUAACAUUAAAAAACCCACAAGGGACUCAAUACACAAAUAAACAAUAAAAGAGCGACACGACCUUGCAGAAAAAAAGAAAAAAACCCAGAAAGAGGCGGGGAUAUUCAGGCGGUACCUUUUGGGUAAACAAUAA